UCUUGGGGUGGCAAAUCCUGCCCCCCACACUACUAUGUAGUAGAACCUUAGGAACUGUGUGCUGUUUGAGAGAUUUGACUAUCUACCAAUCUCUGCUUUGAUACCUUUUUUUUUUGCAUUUGAUUAUACUUAAUUAGAUGGUGUUUUUCUUUAUAAUACUCAUUUCAUGAAUAUAAGCAUGACCUCUCCAACAAGUUUAAGUUUGAGAAAGACAUAUGGUUCCCUGGUGCUCUAAAGUCUUCCUUUACAAAUUGUCUUGUGGCCAAUAAGGGAAGUGGGACCUCACAAUACUCAGGAUGCCUUGCAUAGUUCUCCCCAACCCACCUUCAAUCAUUUAGGGUUGGAUGCCAGUGAGAUGGAUAAAACAGAAAAUAUGAGAAGGAGCAAAGACUGAAUACUCCCC